rnacentral:rRNA from 1 species
ACGUAGGAGGCAAACGUUAUCCGGAUUUACUGGGCGUAAAGCGCGUGUAGGUGGUACUGUAAGUAGGGCGUGAAAGCUCCUGGCUCAACUGGGAGAGGCCGUUCUAAACUACAGAACUAGAGGAUGGUAGAGGGAGGUGGAAUUCCAGGUGUAGCGGUGGAAUGCGCAGAUAUCUGGAGGAAUACCAGUGGCGAAGGCGGCUUUCUGGACUGACCCUGACGCUGAGGUGCGAAAGCGUGGGUAGCAAACAG